UGGGGAAUAUUGCGCAAUGGGGGAAACCCUGACGCAGCAACGCCGCGUGAGUGAUGAAGGUCUUCGGAUCGUAAAGCUCUGUCGGCAGGAACGAUGGGCAAGUUGGCUAAUAUCCAACAUGCUUGACGGUACCUGCAAAGGAAGCACCGGCUAACUCUGUGCCAGCAGCCGCGGUAAUACAGAGGGUGCAAGCGUUGUUCGGAAUCAUUGGGCGUAAAGGGCGCGUAGGCGGUCUGUCAAGUCGAAUGUGAAAGCCCAGGGCUCAACCUUGGAAGUGCAUCCGAAACUGGCAGACUAGAAUCUCGGAGAGGGUGGUGGAAUUCCCAGUGUAGAGGUGAAAUUCGUAGAUAUUGGGAGGAACACCGGUGGCGAAGGCGACCGCCUGGACGAAGAUUGACGCUGAGGCGCGAAAGCGUGGGUAGCAAA
rnacentral:rRNA from 1 species